rnacentral:rRNA from 1 species
CGGACGGGUGAGUAACGCGUAAAGAACUUGCCCUUUAGACUGGGAUAACAGAGGGAAACUUCUGAUAAUACUGGAUAAGUUAGUAUAUCGCAUGAUAUGCAAAUGAAAGCUACGGCACUAAAGGAGAGCUUUGCGUCCUAUUAGCUAGUUGGUGAGGUAAGAGCUUACCAAGGCGAUGAUAGGUAGCCGGCCUGAGAGGGUGGACGGCCACAAGGGGACUGAGAUACGGCCCUUACUCCUACGGGAGGCAGCAGAG